UCUGGCGGCAGUAGCGCGGUGGUCCCACCUGACCCCAUGCCGAACUCAGAAGUGAAACGCCGUAGCGCCGA
rnacentral:rRNA from 1 species